ensembl:lncRNA
UUGCCUCACAGCUAGCUAAAAUGGCUAGAUACUUCACAGAAGCUGUCAGUGCUAGCCAAAUGCAUUACGAGAGGUGACGUUAGCUAAAAGCGGAACUUCGGUCUACCGGUUCUUCACUGAAACUGGCACUCCGGUGUGACUCGUGGACCCAGUCCGAGUGGUUGCUGGCAGCCCCGUAUGUGCAGCGCAAGGAGAAAGAGAAUCGGACAGUUAAUGUUUGCCAAAUCAUCCAUGGUUCCUACACAGGCUCAGAAGACUCGUGAGGGAAAUCCGCUGCACAGCCCUGAUCCUCGACGCUUUGAUCUCCUUCACUCAAGGAAGUCUGGCGUAAGAUCCCUACCACAGUUGCAACAUUUUCCAUUCACAUAUUCUUCAAAUCCAUACUUAUCCUGUCUACAAACAUUUGACACGUGACCAUAUCCUUUACAAUUCCCACAAUGUCAUGGUUUGGACACAAAUGCUCUCACUGCAUACCUCAUAUCCAAGCUUCACAUAUUCAGGUAGAGUCUCCUCAAACAAAAAUAAUAUCGACAGGCUUUUCUCCUUCCUCCUAUUUACCAUACGGAUCAGGCGAUUUGCACUGACCACUCCUGAGAUUUUCUG